rnacentral:rRNA from 1 species
UGGGGAAUAUUGGACAAUGGGCGGAAGCCUGAUCCAGCAACGCCGCGUGAGGGAUGACGGCCUUCGGGUUGUAAACCUCUUUCAGCACAGACGAAGCGCAAGUGACGGUAUGUGCAGAAGAAGGACCGGCCAACUACGUGCCAGCAGCCGCGGUAAUA